CGAACCGUGCGAACGUUGUUCGGAUUCACUGGGCUUAAAGGGCGCGUAGGCGGGCGAUCAAGUCAGGGGUGAAAUCUUUCGGCUCAACCGGAAAAGGGCCUUUGAUACUGGUCGCCUCGAGGGAGGUAGGGGCAUGCGGAACUUCCGGUGGAGCGGUGAAAUGCGUAGAUAUCGGAAGGAACGCCGGUGGCGAAAGCGGCGUGCUGGACCUCGUCUGACGCUGAGGCGCGAAAGCCAGGGGAGCGAACGGG
rnacentral:rRNA from 1 species